AACGAACGCUGGCGGCAGGCUUAACACAUGCAAGUCGAACGCAUCGCAAGAUGUGUGGCAGACGGGUGAGUAACGCGUGGGAACAUACCCUUUUCUACGGAAUAGCUCUGGGAAACUGGAAUUAAUACCGUAUACGCCCUACGGGGGAAAGAUUUAUCGGGGAAGGAUUGGCCCGCGUUGGAUUAGCUAGUUGGUGGGGUAAAGGCCUACCAAGGCGACGAUCCAUAGCUGGUCUGAGAGGAUGAUCAGCCACAUUGGGACUGAGACACGGCCCAAACUCCUACGGGAGGCAGCAGUGGGGAAUAUUGGACUAUGGGCGCAAGCCUGAUCCAGCCAUGCCGCGUGAGUGAUGAAGGCCUUAGGGUUGUAAAGCUCUUUCACCGAUGAAGAUAAUGACGGUAGUCGGAGAAGAAGCCCCGGCUAACUUCGUGCCAGCCGCCGCGGUAA
rnacentral:rRNA from 1 species